rnacentral:RNase_P_RNA from 1 species
GCAGCCGACCGGUUUGUCGCACGUACAUUAUUUGUACGGGAGGAAAGUCCGGGCAACAUAGAGCAUCCUACUUCCUAACAGAAAGCUGUCCGCGAGGGUAGAGUAACGUAGAAGAAAAUAACCGCCUCUUUUCGGAGAGGUAAGGGUGAGAAGGCAGGGUAAGAGCCUACCGGUCCUUGUGGCAACACGGGAGCCGUACGUCUUAGGAGUUGUAAGGUCAUGUAAACCGACGCUAUUGAGGGCUGCUCGCCCCAGCCGGAGGGUAGACCGCUAGAACUUAAUGGUGACAUUAAGUCCAGAUAAAUGACAAACGCUUUAUUUGUUUACAUUUAAAGAACAGAACUCGGCUUAUAGGUCGACUGCUUUU